rnacentral:rRNA from 1 species
GGAGGAAAAGAAACCAACAGGGAUUCCCUUAGUAACGGCGAGCGAACAGGGAAGAGCCCAGCGCCGAAUUCCGCGCCCGCAAGGGCGUCUGGAAAAUGUGGCGUUUAGGAGGGAGCGUGCCGGAAGGUGACUCUGCAGCAAGUCCCCCUGACCGGGGCUGUAACCCAGAGCGGGUGCGAGGCCCAUAGCUGCUAGGUCUAAUCCGGAUGCGACCUCUUGGGAGUCGGGUUGCUUGAGAGUGCAACCCUAAUCGGGUGGUAAACUCCAUCUAAGGCUAAAUACGGCCGUGAGACCGAUAGCAAACAAGUACCGUGAGGGAAAGUUGCAAAGAACUUUGAAGAGAGAGUUCAAGAGUACGUGAAACUGCUCAGAGGUAAACGGGUGGGCCCUCGAAAUCCGGUGGCGGGAGGAUUCAGUCCGGAGGGGCAGAGGCCCGUGCGGUUCGUCAUGCGGUUCCUUCUCUGGACCGUCCCGCACGUUAACGCGCCUCGUCCUCGCCCGACGCAUUUCCUCUCGCCCGAGAGGACGCCGCAGCCGGUCGGGUACGAUCGAUAAGACGGCCUUACGGUCGGUCCGUUAGGCAGGUGGCCGGUGGCGUAGCUCGUCUUCGCCGCCGGUGCUAGCCGGGCCGACUCCGGCUCGUCACCCGACCGAGGAAUCUGAGGGCAGCCCUUCGGGACUGCCCCACCGUCUCCUCUCCCUCAAAGAGAUGCGGGCGUGCCGACAGACGCGCACCGGCUCGCUGCCGUUCCACGCACUCCGCAGUGGACGGCGCGCCGGCGUCAUCGAUGGUCGUGCUGUCGUUCCCGCGGGAGCUUGCUGACGGCUAGCGGCGAGUAGGUCGGUCACCCACCCGACCCGUCUUGAAACACGGACCAAGGAGUCUAACAUGUGCGCGAGUCAAUGGGUCUUGACUAUGCCCAAAGGCGCAAUGAAAGUAAAGACCGGCCCCAGCGGCCGGUUGUGUUGGGACUCCCCCUCCCUGGCGUGGGGGAAGCACCAACGACCCGUCCCGUCCGGAUUCCGGUGGGGCGGAGUCUGAGCGUACACGUUGGGACCCGAAAGAUGGUGAACUAUGCCUGGGCAGGACGAAGCCAGAGGAAACUCUGGUGGAGGUCCGUAGCGGUUCUGACGUGCAAAUCGAUCGUCAGACCCGGGUAUAGGGGCGAAAGACUAAUCGAACCAUCUAGUAGCUGGUUCCCUCCGAAGUUUCCCUCAGGAUAGCUGGCGCUCGGAGAUAAUCAGUCUCAUCCGGUAAAGCGAAUGAUUAGAGGCCUUGGGGCCGAAACGACCUCAACCUAUUCUCAAACUUUAAAUGGGUGAGAAGUCCGGCUUUCGCGACUGAAGCCCGGACGCUCGGAUGAGAGUGCCCAGUGGGCCACUUUUGGUAAGCAGAACUGGCGCUGUGGG